UACAGAGGUCCCAAGCGUUGUCCGGAAUCAUUGGGCGUAAAGAGCGUGUAGGCGGCCCGGUAAGUCCGCUGUGAAAGUCGGGGGCUCAACCCUCGAAUGCCGGUGGAUACUGUCGGGCUAGAGUGCGGAAGAGGCGAGUGGAAUUCCUGGUGUAGCGGUGAAAUGCGCAGAUAUCAGGAGGAACACCAAUUGCGAAGGCAGCUCGCUGGGACGUAACUGACGCUGAGACGCGAAAGCGUGGGGAGCAAACAGG
rnacentral:rRNA from 1 species